UACAGAGGUCCCAAGCGUUGUUCGGAUUCAUUGGGCGUAAAGGGUGCGUAGGCGGACCAGUAAGUCAGUGGUGAAAUCUCUUUGCUUAACAAAGAAACUGCCAUUGAUACUGCUAGUCUAGAGUAUAGAUGACGUUGGCGGAAUAUGACAUGUAGUGGUGAAAUACUUAGAUAUGUCAUAGAACACCGAUUGCGAAGGCAGCUAACGAAACUAUAACUGACGCUGAGGCACGAAAGUGCGGGGAUCAAACGG
rnacentral:rRNA from 1 species